rnacentral:rRNA from 1 species
UGUUUCGGCUAGGGGGCCAUCCCGGCUUACCAACCCGAUGCAAACUGCGAAUACCGGAGAAUGUUAUCACGGGAGACACACGGCGGGUGCUAACGUCCGUCGUGAAGAGGGAAACAACCCAGACCGCCAGCUAAGGUCCCAAAGUCAUGGUUAAGUGGGAAACGAUGUGGGAAGGCCCAGACAGCCAGGAUGUUGGCUUAGAAGCAGCCAUCAUUUAAAGAAAGCGUAAUAGCUCACUGGUCGAGUCGGCCUGCGCGGAAGAUGUAACGGGGCUAAACCAUGCACCGAAGCUGCGGCAGCGACACUGUGUGUUGUUGGGUAGGGGAGCGUUCUGUAAGCCUGUGAAGGUGGCCUGUGAGGGUUGCUGGAGGUAUCAGAAGUGCGAAUGCUGACAUAAGUAACGAUAAAGCGGGUGAAAAGCCCGCUCGCCGGAAGACCAAGGGUUCCUGUCCAACGUUAAUCGGGGCAGGGUGAGUCGACCCCUAAGGCGAGGCCGAAAGGCGUAGUCGAUGGGAAACAGGUUAAUAUUCC